ensembl:lncRNA
ACAGGUAAUCCAUAGAACAUCCUUGGCAGAUAAUUAAAUAUUCUGAUCUGAACUUGCAGGAGCAGACACACCAAGCAUCCGUGAGACUUGACCGGAAGGAUAAGACAGGAAGCCGCUGUUGGAGUAGGCAAUCAAUAACUGCACGUUCCUCAGCUCCUCAGAGGCAUGGCUGUCCACGCUGUUCUUCAGCAUGACCUUUCAGAGUCACGACGAAAACCCAGUCAAGGAGAAAACUUACUUUUCCUUUAACAAACUCAUAUUUGGUUCAAUAGAAAUGCAGUGAAUUUCCAUAAAAAUGAUUCCGUGGCUGCUGCCAGGCUUAUUUGUAGAGGUUUUGGCUGUUGGCUCUACACUUCUGUAUACCACAAACUACUAAAGGAAAGAAAGUAAGGCUAACGGGAAGAUAACUCCAUACUUGUAUACAACGAGAGAUGCCAGAUCACUCUUGGGCUGACAGAUCUUACUUUUGCUGCAUCAAACUGUUGGCUAGACUGUACCUUCGGAAUCUGGGUGGGUGCUAGUCACGGAGUGGAGGAAAGGCAGAGAAUGGUGGUGGUGGCAGAUCUCAGCCUUGCUUGGACCCAUCUGAACAAUUUGAUGCUGCCCGUGACCUUGAGAACCCUGCUUCACAAACCCAGGAUCCUUUCCUUAGUGAAAUCUCUUCUCCUGUUGAGACAAGUGGGAGACAUCUGUUGUUAUUUGAAGACGCUCUCAGGAGCCUGCCGGGUUCCAUUCAACCUGUUUUUUGCAGGGUAGACAGCUACUGAGCUACAAUUCCACUGCAGAGCGACGGUGAUCAGGAGGAUGGGACGAGUUUGCAAGGCAACAUGAACUGGAGGGCAACGCAACGAAGCAGCAUCCAUCACACGUGUUCAAAAACAGACAUACGUUGACACAGAGAUGGAAAAACUAUACUGUGAAAACUGGAACUCCUCCACUUUUUAUAUAUUCUAUAGCAAGGACCUUUAGACUGUGACCGUCCCUUGUCACCCCUACUUUAUCUUUCUUGUCCCGUAUUGUUACAAUUCUGUGCUAAAGCCAGAAAAGUCAUUCAGGGAGAUUAGUCGAGGGAGGUUCUAUGUCGCCCAGCUUUGGGAGAACUAAGUGAGCUUUUCCAACAAAGGGAUGAAGGAUGUUGCGAUGCCUGUCAUGCUUGUGUGCAUGUCUGCCUAUCUUUCCUUACCUGUAUGGGAUCAGACGCCAUAAAAAGCCGGAAACUUUGACAUGUGAUCAUAUUAAUUUUUAACUGUGAUCUCUUGGCAUUAGAGACCAAAUCACUGAAUAGAGAUACAGCUUAAUAGUCUGUUUCCUGGGAGGAGAGAAGAGACUUGUAAAAGAGAGAAAGCAAUGCAGAUUAAGGCAGGGACGGCAGGUAGAGGGCUUUUCUUACUCCAUCCUGUUCUUGGGGUGUCAGGUCACCUGGCUGCCUGGCUAGAAUGGAGGGCAUAAUUCAAACAGAAGCAAGGACCAGACAGACAGAAGGCAGUGGGAAGCUAUCAGGAGCAGGUGAAGACCAGAGCCCUGUAUUGUUAUUAUUAUUUUUUUUUUGUGGGAGCAGAAAACUUUAUUGAUGGUAUUCAAGAGAGUAGGGAGGCUCCCUAGGCCCUUCCUGUUAUGGGUGUCUGGGGUGGAAAUUGUGAGGGAGAUGCUCAGUGU